AAAUGAAUUGACGGGGGCCCGCACAAGCGGUGGAGCAUGUGGUUUAAUUCGAUGCAACGCGCAGAACCUUACCAGGGUUUGACAUGGAAUCGCCGCAGCGAGAGAUCGCUGUUUGAUAGCAAUAUCACGGUUCACACAGGUGCUGCAUGGCUGUCGUCAGCUCGUGUCGUGAGAUGUUGGGUUAAGUCCCGCAACGAGCGCAACCCAUGUUUCUAGUUGCUAACAGGUAAUGCUGAGCUCUCUAGAGAGACUGCCGGGGACAACCCGGAGGAAGGUGUGGAUGACGUCAAGUCCUCAUGGCCCUUACAUCCUGGGCUACACACGUGCUACAAUGGUCGGUACAGUGGGUCGCGAAGCCGCAAGGUGGAGCCAAUCCUCAAAGCCGGCCUCAGUUCGGAUUGGAGUCUGCAACUCGACUCCAUGAAGUCGGAAUCGCUAGUAAUCGUGGAUCAGAAUGCCACGGUGAAUACGUUCCCGGGCCUUGUACACACCGCCCGU
rnacentral:rRNA from 1 species